rfam:Triticum aestivum genome assembly, contig: Triticum_aestivum_CS42_TGACv1_scaffold_606197_7DL
GUGGUACUCCAUCUGUCCGAAAAAACUUGUCCCUCAAAUGGAUGUAUCUAGCACCAAAUUAGUACCAGAUACAUCCAUUUGAGAAACAAGCUUGGGACAAGCUUUUCCGGACGGAAGGAGUAGUAC